rnacentral:lncRNA from 1 species
GGUUCUUACUUUGUCACCCAGGCUGGAGUGCAGUGGUGUGAUCUCAGCUCAAUGCAGCAUCAACCUCCCAGGCUCAAGCUACCUUCUUACCUCAGCCCCCCAAGUCGCUGGGACCACAGCUUCAACUCACUCCCCAAUCAAGGUGAGUGUGUAUCUACCAUGAGUGAGUAAACUACCACGUGCCCAUCACCCAGCUUCAACAAGCAUCGACUCACUCUCCAAUCAAGGUGAAAUAUCAGACAUCAUGUGAUUUUAUCGGUCAGUACAUUUCCUUGAUUUUUAAGUACAUUUAAGUACAUUUAAGUCAGUACAUUUUCUGUUUUUAAGUAAAUUAUACAGGGAUUCACUAUGGUGACUAGUUAUAUCUUUUACCUUUGUUUUUGCUAUUGUUUUUGUUGCUUGCA